ACUUAGAGAUAGCGGUACUCAGAAAAGAAUCUAAGUUCCCUCUUAAGGUACCUCAGCAACUUUAAGCAAACCCUUACCUUAAGUGAUAUUCAAUAGGGGUACAGCCCUAUUGAAAAAGGAGACAACCUAAACCUCUGGAUAAUGAUCAUAAUAUUUAAACUUAGGCCUAGUAGGCUUAAAAGCAGCCACCUAAAAAGAAAACGUCAAAGCUCAUCCUAAUUCUUUAUUCAAUACCUAUAAACUUUCAAAAUCCAUAAUUCAUAUUGAGUCAUUCUAUAAAACUAUAGAACAGUUUAUGUUAAAACUAGUAACACAGAAUUAUACUUCUCUUAAAUACAAGUGUGAAUCAGAUCGAAUAAAUCACUGAUAAUUAACAAUCUCAUAGAGACUAUAGUAAUAACUACCCAAGAAAACAUUACUUCACCAACUGUCAAUCUUACACAAGAGUAUUCCAAGAAAGAUUAAAAAAUAAGGAAGGAACUCGGCAAAUCUAGGCUUCGCCUG
rnacentral:rRNA from 1 species